UGGCGUGUUUCUGGAGUUCCUCAAGCUCCUUCUCGAAGUUAGCCUUCUUUCGACUGUAGUCCAUAACACUCUUUACGUGAAGGUUUCGAAGGCGGAUAACCUCCACGAUGGCUUCUGAGUGGCUCUUCCUCAGCCGGUGAAGUUCAUCGUCCAUCUUCUUUGAUCUCUUCAUCAAGUGACGAACUUCCUUUCUCAAAUCCUGGAUCGUGGACUUCAAAGAAAUCUCCUACGAUAGGGGAAGAGCUUCGACAGGACACUAUUGUCGAGAAACAAGAGCGUCACGAUGCAAAUCAUUGCAAGAAAAAAAAAGAAAAUAGAAGUAGAAGAAGAAAAAGGAGCUCUCUGUGAAGAGGAACCCAAUUUCAUUGAUUGAAUAUUUUUUAAGUACAAGAGAAAGAGAAAAAAAUUAUGAUAAAGGAAAAGUACAAAGUUA
rnacentral:lncRNA from 1 species